UACAGAGGUCUCAAGCGUUGUUCGGAUUCAUUGGGCGUAAAGGUGUGUAGGUGGCGCGCUAAGUCGGGUGUGAAAUUUCGGAGCUUAACUCCGAAACUGCAUUCGAUACUGGCGUGCUUGAGGACUGGAGAGGAGACUGGAAUUUACGGUGUAGCAGUGAAAUGCGUAGAUAUCGUAAGGAAGACCAGUGGCGAAGGCGGGUCUCUGGGACAGUUCCUGACACUGAGACACGAAGGCCAGGGGAGCAAACGGG
rnacentral:rRNA from 1 species